UACGAAGGGGGCUAGCGUUGUUCGGAAUUACUGGGCGUAAAGCGCACGUAGGCGGACUAUUAAGUCAGGGGUGAAAUCCCGGGGCUCAACCCCGGAACUGCCUUUGAUACUGGUAGUCUCGAGUCCGGAAGAGGUGAGUGGAAUUCCGAGUGUAGAGGUGAAAAUUCGUAGAUAUUCGGAGGAACACCCAGUGGCGAAGGCGGCUCACUGGUCCGGUACUGACGCUGAGGUGCGAAAGCGUGGGGAGCAAACAGGG
rnacentral:rRNA from 1 species